GGGUUGUGAGGUUAAGCGACUAAGCGUACACGGUGGAUGCCCUGGCAGUCAGAGGCGAUGAAGGACGUGCUAAUCUGCGAUAAGCGUCGGUGAGGUGAUAUGAACCGUUAUAACCGGCGAUUUCCGAAUGGGGAAACCCAGUGUGUUUCGACACACUAUCAUUAACUGAAUCCAUAGGUUAAUGAGGCGAACCGGGGGAACUGAAACAUCUAAGUACCCCGAGGAAAAGAAAUCAACCGAGAUUCCCCCAGUAGCGGCGAGCGAACGGGGAGGAGCCCAGAGCCUGAAUCAGUGUGUGUGUUAGUGGAAGCGUCUGGAAAGGCGUGCGAUACAGGGUGACAGCCCCGUACACAAAAAUGCACAUAUUGUGAGCUCGAUGAGUAGGGCGGGACACGUGGUAUCCUGUCUGAAUAUGGGGGGACCAUCCUCCAAGGCUAAAUACUCCUGACUGACCGAUAGUGAACCAGUACCGUGAGGGAAAGGCGAAAAGAACCCCGGCGAGGGGAGUGAAAAAGAACCUGAAACCGUGUACGUACAAGCAGUGGGAGCCUCUUAAUGGGGUGACUGCGUACCUUUUGUAUAAUGGGUCAGCGACUUAUAUUCUGUAGCAAGGUUAACCGAAUAGGGGAGCCGAAGGGAAACCGAGUCUUAACUGGGCGUUAAGUUGCAGGGUAUAGACCCGAAACCCGGUGAUCUAGCCAUGGGCAGGUUGAAGGUUGGGUAACACUAACUGGAGGACCGAACCGACUAAUGUUGAAAAAUUAGCGGAUGACUUGUGGCUGGGGGUGAAAGGCCAAUCAAACCGGGAGAUAGCUGGUUCUCCCCGAAAGCUAUUUAGGUAGCGCCUCGUGAAUUCAUCUCCGGGGGUAGAGCACUGUUUCGGCAAGGGGGUCAUCCCGACUUACCAACCCGAUGCAAACUGCGAAUACCGGAGAAUGUUAUCACGGGAGACACACGGCGGGUGCUAACGUCCGUCGUGAAGAGGGAAACAACCCAGACCGCCAGCUAAGGUCCCAAAGUCAUGGUUAAGUGGGAAACGAUGUGGGAAGGCCCAGACAGCCAGGAUGUUGGCUUAGAAGCAGCCAUCAUUUAAAGAAAGCGUAAUAGCUCACUGGUCGAGUCGGCCUGCGCGGAAGAUGUAACGGGGCUAAACCAUGCACCGAAGCUGCGGCAGCGACACUAUGUGUUGUUGGGUAGGGGAGCGUUCUGUAAGCCUGUGAAGGUGGCCUGUGAGGGUUGCUGGAGGUAUCAGAAGUGCGAAUGCUGACAUAAGUAACGAUAAAGCGGGUGAAAAGCCCGCUCGCCGGAAGACCAAGGGUUCCUGUCCAACGUUAAUCGGGGCAGGGUGAGUCGACCCCUAAGGCGAGGCCGAAAGGCGUAGUCGAUGGGAAACAGGUUAAUAUUCCUGUACUUGGUGUUACUGCGAAGGGGGGACGGAGAAGGCUAUGUUGGCCGGGCGACGGUUGUCCCGGUUUAAGCGUGUAGGCUGGUUUUCCAGGCAAAUCCGGAAAACCAAGGCUGAGGCGUGAUGACGAGGCACUACGGUGCUGAAGCGACAAAUGCCCUGCUUCCAGGAAAAGCCUCUAAGCAUCAGGUAACAUCAAAUCGUACCCCAAACCGACACAGGUGGUCAGGUAGAGAAUACCAAGGCGCUUGAGAGAACUCGGGUGAAGGAACUAGGCAAAAUGGUGCCGUAACUUCGGGAGAAGGCACGCUGAUAUGUAGGUGAAGCGACUUGCUCGUGGAGCUGAAAUCAGUCGAAGAUACCAGCUGGCUGCAACUGUUUAUUAAAAACACAGCACUGUGCAAACACGAAAGUGGACGUAUACGGUGUGACGCCUGCCCGGUGCCGGAAGGUUAAUUGAUGGGGUUAGCGGCAACGCGAAGCUCUUGAUCGAAGCCCCGGUAAACGGCGGCCGUAACUAUAACGGUCCUAAGGUAGCGAAAUUCCUUGUCGGGUAAGUUCCGACCUGCACGAAUGGCGUAAUGAUGGCCAGGCUGUCUCCACCCGAGACUCAGUGAAAUUGAACUCGCUGUGAAGAUGCAGUGUACCCGCGGCAAGACGGAAAGACCCCGUGAACCUUUACUAUAGCUUGACACUGAACAUUGAGCCUUGAUGUGUAGGAUAGGUGGGAGGCUUUGAAGUGUGGACGCCAGUCUGCAUGGAGCCGACCUUGAAAUACCACCCUUUAAUGUUUGAUGUUCUAACGUUGGCCCGUAAUCCGGGUUGCGGACAGUGUCUGGUGGGUAGUUUGACUGGGGCGGUCUCCUCCUAAAGAGUAACGGAGGAGCACGAAGGUUGGCUAAUCCUGGUCGGACAUCAGGAGGUUAGUGCAAUGGCAUAAGCCAGCUUGACUGCGAGCGUGACGGCGCGAGCAGGUGCGAAAGCAGGUCAUAGUGAUCCGGUGGUUCUGAAUGGAAGGGCCAUCGCUCAACGGAUAAAAGGUACUCCGGGGAUAACAGGCUGAUACCGCCCAAGAGUUCAUAUCGACGGCGGUGUUUGGCACCUCGAUGUCGGCUCAUCACAUCCUGGGGCUGAAGUAGGUCCCAAGGGUAUGGCUGUUCGCCAUUUAAAGUGGUACGCGAGCUGGGUUUAGAACGUCGUGAGACAGUUCGGUCCCUAUCUGCCGUGGGCGCUGGAGAACUGAGGGGGGCUGCUCCUAGUACGAGAGGACCGGAGUGGACGCAUCACUGGUGUUCGGGUUGUCAUGCCAAUGGCACUGCCCGGUAGCUAAAUGCGGAAGAGAUAAGUGCUGAAAGCAUCUAAGCACGAAACUUGCCCCGAGAUGAGUUCUCCCUGACUCCUUGAGAGUCCUGAAGGAACGUUGAAGACGACGACGUUGAUAGGCCGGGUGUGUAAGCGCAGCGAUGCGUUGAGCUAACCGGUACUAAUGAACCGUGAGGCUUAACCUU
rnacentral:rRNA from 1 species